UCAGAUAAAAUAAAAACCUGACUAACCCGUACACAGGUCUAACAGCACAAGAGGCCCAAUAUACCAACAUAUGAAAUCCAAAAAUAGAAUUACAUACCAAAAAGAAUGGCAGUACCAGUAUAAGAGAAGGAUGAGCGGAAACCAAAAAAGGCCCCCCUCCCAACAUUUCUGCUGCGAUCCUUUCUCAAGGGAGGAUACGCAAGGGAUUCUUUUUGGUAUGUAAA